rnacentral:rRNA from 1 species
AUUGAACGCUGGCGGCAGGCCUAACACAUGCAAGUCGAGCGAGCGGCGGACGGGUGAGUAAUGUAUGGGGACUGCCCGAUAGAGGGGGAUAACUACUGGAAACGGUGGCUAAUACCGCAUACUAUCGGAUAACCCAUAUGGGAUUAGCUAGUAGGUGGGGUAAAGGCUCACCUAGGCGACGAUGUCUAGCGGGUCUGAGAGGAUGAUCAGCCACACUGGGACUGAGACACGGCCCAGACUCCUACGGAGGCAGCAGUAGGGAAUAUUGCACAAUGGACGAAAGCCUGAUGCAGCAAUGCCGCGUGUAUGAAGAAGGUCUUAGGGUUGUAAAGCACUGUCAGCGGGGAGGCGUUACCUGCAGAGAAAGCACCGGCUAACUCCGUGCCAGCAGCCGCGGUAAUUC